rnacentral:rRNA from 1 species
AUUGAACGCUGGCGGCAUGCCUUACACAUGCAAGUCGAACGGCAGCACGGGGCAACCUGGUGGCGAGUGGCGAACGGGUGAGUAAUGCAUCGGAACGUACCUUUCAGUGGGGGAUAACGUAGCGAAAGUUACGCUAAUACCGCAUAUUCUGUGAGCAGGAAAGCAGGGGAUCGCAAGACCUUGCGCUGAUUGAGCGGCCGAUGUCAGAUUAGCUAGUUGGUGAGGUAAAGGCUCACCAAGGCGACGAUCUGUAGCGGGUCUGAGAGGAUGAUCCGCCACACUGGAACUGAGACACGGGCCAGACUCCUACGGGAGGCAGCAGUGGGGAAUUUUGGACAAUGGGGGCAACCCUGAUCCAGCCAUGCCGCGUGAGUGAAGAAGGCCUUCGGGUUGUAAAGCUCUUUCGGCCGGGAAGAAAACGCACGGGCUAAUACCCUGUGUGGAUGACGGUACCGGAAUAAGAAGCACCGGCUAACUACGUGCCAGCCGCCGCAGUAAUAC